ensembl:lncRNA
CUUGCUUUGUGACUUGUUCUGUAAAUGCUUAGUUACUUGGCUUGGGUCUAGACCGUUUGUAUUUGGGCGGGCCAGAGAAGGAGCUGACGAGCUCGGACUUCUCCCCCGCAGCCCUGGAAGACGUUCCAAGGGUGUUUAGAGCCCGGUUUUUCGGGGCUCAGCCUGUAUCGGAACGAUACGUGGUUUUGGGUUGGAGGAGAGAGGAGAGAGCCGGAUCCACUGAAGGAUCCGGACCCUCGUCGCCUCUGUCUGAAUUUUUGGUUUCAGUUUGACACCGAAGCCGCGCGGUGCGUCUGUCUGUCUGACUGUUGGAAUUGUUUGUCUUCUUUGUGUCCUAAUUUUCUUUGAACAUCUGUGGAAAUUGGUUAUAGGAUUCUUUGUCUUGGUCUUGUUUGUCUGGUUUGUUUUCUGUGGUAUUGUCGAGUGUCUUUUUGACUUUUGUUUCGUUUUUGGACUUUGGAUAGACGACUGUGUUUAAAAUCUUGGACUGACAACUGUGUUUAAAAUCAUGAAACUGUUUGCUUUGUUUGUCAAGGAGUUUUACUUGGUCCUCUUGGUGCUUAACUUGGAAAUAAUUUGCUUGAGAAAAAUUGUUUUAUCUUUCUCUCUUAGCCUCCUCCCCAAGGAAAGAUGCCCCUCCCUUUGCUCCCCUUGUCCAGUCUAGCUGCUGUUAACAGUUGUGUAUGAAGAACUCCAGGUUAGUGAGUGACCCUGUCUGAAGCAGGUAUUAACAAGAGCCUGAAAGCUUUACCUUAGAUCCUGAAGAAAAAUUCUCCCUGUUGCUUAAACAUUCACAGCUUCUAAGGAAGGGACAGCACAGAGUAGGAAAAUAUAGGGGCUGAGGGUGACAAGCAUGCAGGCCUGCUAGCAAGCUGCAGGCUGCGCGUGGGCAGUGGUGCAGCUCUGGCCAAGUCAGCGUAAGAGGAGUUUCAAGGUGAUGAGGCCGGCCAGGGUUGAUGCUUUGACAACAAGAAGAUAGCGUAGAGUUAGUGGUUGUUUUAUGAGACUUUUGGCCCUGAAAAAAAAUAAUAAUUCCAGUUGCUGCUUUCAGUGGCCAGACCUUCAACACUUGCUCACAGAAGGAGAGUGUUCAUUAAGAGAAGUUCUUUAAGGGAGCCUGCCAUAUCUGCUGGCCCUAUUCCAAGAGAGGAGUUGAUCUCCAACAUUAAGUAACCUUCCCUGUUAGUCAUCAUUGACAUGGAGAGUGCCUUUGAUCCUAUCCCCACAGCAGCCAGUUCCUGCCCCUGUGGUCAAAAUGCCCCAGGUUGGGGGACAGAGAAGCCCCUAAAAUAGUUUCAAAAAGAAUCUGCAACAAACUGUGAAGAACUUUGUUUUGCCAGUCAAAAUUUAGAAUUCAGUCUUUGACUGUGGCCAAGGUCAGGAUUAAUGUUUUCUUUUCCAUGGGCCUUUAGCCCACUGAGACAGUUUGGUAAAGGGCUGCUACUGAGGUCCUGAAAGUCCCAGGUGAACUGGUUACAAUUCUUUUGUCAGCCACUUGGCAUCUAGCACCCAGGUCCUAACCAUCUCUCCAUCCUUUUGUUAUUAGUUCUUAAGUCCAGAGAGAUAGUCGGUAACAGAUCAGCUCCCUCUCUGCUUGCCGUUCUGUUUCACAGACACAAAGCUUGUGCUUAUUUUUACAACAGCCUUUUUGUCCCAAAAAGUCCUCCUGGUUUAGCUGUGUGACUAAAUGCUAUUUGUCCUCUUCAGUGGACCUCUAUUCUCUAGAUUCUCUUCUUGUUUUCUCACCAUCCCACUUGAGAUGCUUGUUAGUAACUGUUACAGGUCUUCUUUACCACCGAGAAAAGACAGAAUCCUACUGGAGGCCAGAAAGAUAAAUCCAGACAUGGAUGGAAGACCCUCACUCCUGACUGUUGACUUGAAUACCCCUGAAGGUAGGGAGUGCUCCGGGUCUGCCACCAGGCUCCAAGGGUGGGUCUCCGAGGGGCUGGAAAAUGCCCCACCAAUCUGGCUAAAAUAAGUAAAAGAUAUAAAGAGAGAAAGUUACAGAAAUUUAAAGGGUUAAGCUAAGUUGCUGAGAGUUAGUGUAAGUUGCAGAGAAAGUAAAGUUGAAGUGUAGUUACAUAAGUGGACAGCAUCUAAUAGCUGUAGAGGAAGAUGCAGAAGAUAUGAGAGAGAGACUGAGGAAGAGAAAGAGAAAAGAAGGUAAAAAGAGCAGGAAGCUAAGGAAGAAAAGAGAUAAAAGGAAAAAGAAGCUAGAGAGUUAAAGAGGGAUAAAAGACAGGAGAGGAAUAUAUACUGGCCACAGUAGUUAGGGAACCUAGGAAGACAGUACCUGGCAACAGAAGAGAAUUCCUAGCUAAAGAUCAGUGUGCCUAUCGCAAGGAAAAAGGACACUGGGUCAGGGACUGCCCCAUGAAGAACAAGAGGGGCCUCUCCAGCAGCCCGGAAGGCAAGCCUCUUGGUUCUAGAGUGCUGGCUAUGCGCAAAGAUAGAAGGGAAGCCUGCCCAGUUGUUUUGUGAAUACGGGGGCCCAACACUCUGUGCUCCUACGCCCAAAUGGGCUAGUGUCCAGCAAAAGACCUUGAGUACAGGGGACUACCGGCAACAAAUGAUACUCAUGGACUACCCGAAGAACGGUGGACCUUGGCGUGGGCCGGGUAUCCCACUUGUUCCUUGUGAUCCCAGACUGCCCCUACGAGUCUAAACCCUGCAACCCUGCUCCCGGACCCCGACCUAGACACCCCCCUUCAUGACUGUCAGCAGGUGCUCACUAAAGCACAGGGGUGGCAUAAAGAUCUGACUGACCAGCCACCAAAGGGGGUAGAUGCCAUCUGGUUCAUAGAUGGGAGCAGCUUCUUAGAGAAGGAAAAAGAUGGGCUGGGGCAGCAGUGGUUGAUGGAAACAGAGUCAUUUGGGCUCAGGCCCUACCAGAAGACACCACUACUCAGGGGGUAGAGCUCGCUCCCCUCACCAAAGCCCUUGAGCCGAGAAGGAGACUUAACAUCUAUGUGGACAGCACGUAUGCCUUUGCUACAGCCCAUCAGCAGAGGGGCCUGCUGACAUCUGAGGGCAAGAAAAAAAAAGAGAUUCUGGCUCUGUUAAGGGCCCUACAUGACCCAGCCAGGCCGAGGAAGAGACUCUGGUACACCUCAACGAGAAAGAAGAUCCUGCUACAAUUUUUACAGGCAGAGGCCAUGGUCUCAAGUAUCUCGUGGAACAGAUAGUGCACUGAUGUAUACCAUGCCAAAAGGUAACUGUUUUCAGGAAAGUUGACUGUGGUAGGAGGCUCCGUGGGGAACGGCCUGGAUACUACUGAGAAGUGGACUUCACAGAGAUAAAACCAGGAAAAUAUGGUUAUAAAUGUCUCCUAGUGUUUAUAGAUAUCUUUUCAGGAAUAGGUAGAAGCUUUCCCCACCAAGCAAGAGACGGCCUCAAUAGUCAUCAAGAAGAUACUAGAAGAAAUCUUCCCCCAAUUUGGAAUGCCCAAGGUAAUCUGGUCAGACAACAGCCCUACUUUCGUUGCCAAGGUAAGCCAGGGUGUGGCCAAGUAUUUAGAGGUUGAUUGAAAAUUACGUUAUAUUUACAGACCUCAAAGUUCAGGACAGGUAGAAUAAAUAAAUAAGACUCUAAAAGAGACCCUGACCAAAUUGACCAUGGAGACUGGCGUAGACUGGGUGACACUCCUUCCCUCUUGCUCUCUUCAGAGCAAGAAAUACCCCUUCCAGAUUCAGCCUUACCCCCUUUGAGAUCUUAUAUGGGGCCUCAGCUCCCCUGACUGUAUUAGAUGAUGUUACUGAACCAACAUGUCAUAGUAAUAAUGAUUUGUGUGCCAGGCUAAAAGACCUACAGGUGAUACAGAAAGAAAUCUGCUCACAGCUGACAGCAGCCUAUGCCCCGGGGACCCCUGAGACAUGUCAUCAGUUCCAGGUUAGAGACUACAGCUACACUGAGCCCAGACACUCGAGCCUCGCUGGAAAGGACCAUACCUGGUGCUGCUGACCACCCUGACAGCCAUCAAGUCUCAGCCCUCACCAGCAGCGUACUAGCUGUUGGGGCUGAGAGCUGGGACCUAGAGGGACACUCAGAUCUUCAAAAAGCUCCCUAGACUUAAGUGAUUGGGAGGUUGCUAUAAUGCUCACUUGAGGAGUGUGUUUUAGAAACAAGAAUUUCAUAUUUGCCUGUUUGCCCUGGGUUCCCUCGGAAUAGGUGUAAGGAUAGGCUUGAUUUUUAUUGCAAAUGAUGUAAUAUUACAUAUGUUAGUACUCCUAACACUUCUUGGGACUGUGCCUCAGGGAUCACAACCUAUAUAAGUUUAGAAGUUCUAAAAGACCUUGGUGUAUAGGUUCAGAUAGUGUCCAGAUUAGAAUCCUGAUGCUAAAGACUUAAUAAGACACAAAAGAGAGUUGAGAAUUAUUUAAGGCUAUCUAGGUGCUACAAGGGCAGCACAAGGACAUCUGCUAUUGCCCUAUAAUGCAAGGCUUAUAGAGAAUUCAGAACUGCCAUUGACUCAGAUAUGAAAAGAGUAAAAAAGACUUUUUAGCUGACCUCCAAGAACACCUAACCUCCCUCUCAGAGGUAGUCCUUCAAAAUAGAAAAAGAUUAGACCUGAUAUUCCUUAAAGAAGGAGUAUGUGUGCUACACUAAAAGAAGAAUGUUGUUUCUAUGCAGAUCAGAUAGGAAUAAUAAGAGAUAUAGUCUUUCAGUCAUUCAAACUUUUGUGCUGAGACAACAGUAUCAGAUGGUGAAACAACAAAAAACAGAGGUACCUUAACCAAGUUGAGUGGAAGAUUCCACUCAAGGACAAAAAGAAAAUGGGGGAAUGAAAGACCCCCUCCCAGAAAGGGAAUUGUACAAGCCCAAGGCCCUCAACUAUAGAAGUAAAAAGUAAGUUUUUAGAUAUGUGGGACAAGCUGACCCAUCAUUUAGACGAAACAGACCAGAAAAGAAAACAAAAUGCAGAAACCAGACUAAAUUAUGGGCACUGCUCCAUGGGCCACCUGGCAGGAAAAAGAAAAAGUCCCUGACCCCCCGGAAGCCCUGACCACCAUGUACUUUUUGCUAACUCAUUGUUAUGAUUAUAGCCAAAAUAGGUAACAUACACGUAUGCCUCAUCUGUACUGGGACGCCCACAGAUACCUGUGUAUCCUGAUCAAUAAAAAUCCUCUUGCAGAUUGCAGCCUGUGGACUCGGUCUGGUCAUUGGGCUUGAGGAUCUCCCUCCUGAGGGAAGAUUCUCUCUGAGAGUCUUACAAUCUGAGGAUUGUAUGAGAACUCUAAGGGAGCUUGCAGCCCCUCAAUGGGCCAUGUCACUGGUACUCACAAUCUUAGUGUUUGAUCUCUUUCAGGCAUUGCUGCUGGAGCAUAUUAACCAUUCAAUCACCACCCCAGGAAAGAACGUAGACUGUCAGCAAUGACCGCCACCCUUAGAAAGCAUUUGGGAAAAUAAAAUUGUUGGUGGAACAAAAUUGAGAUGUUUUUACUACUGGCUCUGGUGUAGAAAGUCUUAGGGAACGAUUUGAAGUUCAGAAAGGCACACUCUUAAUAGUUAAGCUAGGCACCUUUUAAGGUCAGGGAACAAGAACAAUGGCAGUACUAGCUGAAGAGACUCUUCUGCUGGAGCUGGGCGGUGAUCAAGGCAAGGGAUUCCUCGUGCCCAGUUUUGCCCUCAGCCUACUCUACGGUUUAAUAAAUUUUGCUGAUGAGUAGAUGUGCAGUCUGAGAAUUUAAAGUAGAAACGGCUGGUUGUCUUUUAUCUAAAAGUUUAGAUUUGUGAUUCUUUUAAGAUCUUUAUAAGAUUACUUUUUAAGAUAAAUGAUAAAAUAAUCUUUCCUUUCUUUGUAACUGCAAACUGCUGCCUGCCAGUAAGAGAAACUGGUUGAGAAAAUUACUUUGCCUGCUCACACUUUUGUAAUCUCUGGCAAGUUGCUUAGUUACAAAUGUACGUGGGUUUUUGGGAAUAAUCUGUUUUCUUUUCCUGUACUAUGUAAUGCUAUUUCUUGUAAAGGUAUUGGAGAACACGCUGUAUUUUCACAGUCAUUCACUAGAAGAAAAACAGAAUGCAAUCACACUGUAAUUUUAUACUGCUUGAGAGAUUUUGCUGUGAGAGAAAAAAAU